GACGUAGGGGGCGAGCGUUGUCCGGAUUUAUUGGGCGUAAAGCGUGCGUAGGCGGCUGCGCAAGUCGGUUGUGAAACCCCGGGGCUCAACCCCGGAACUGCAUCCGAUACUGCGUGGCUAGAGGUAGGUAGGGGGAGAUCGGAAUUCCUGGUGUAGCGGUGAAAUGCGCAGAUAUCAGGAGGAACACCGGUGGCGAAGGCGGAUCUCUGGGCCUUACCUGACGCUCAGGCACGAAAGCUAGGGGAGCGAACAGG
rnacentral:rRNA from 1 species